CCUGGCGGUAGGCUUAACACAUGCAAGUCGAACGGAAACGAUACUAGCUUGCUAGUAGGCGUCGAGUGGCGGACGGGUGAGUAACGCGUAGGAAUCUGCCUGAUAGUGGGGGAUAGCCCGGAGAAAUUCGGAUUAAUACCGCAUAAUCUAUUCGUAGUAAAGUGGGGGACUUUCGAGCCUCACGCUAUCAGAUGAGCCUGCGUAAGAUUAGCUUGUUGGUAGGGUAAAAGCCUACCAAGGCGACGAUCUUUAGCUGGUCUGAGAGGAUGAUCAGCCACAUCGGGACUGAGACACGGCCCGAACUCCUACGGGA
rnacentral:rRNA from 1 species